ensembl:lncRNA PPIEL peptidylprolyl isomerase E like (pseudogene)
ACGGUGCGGGCUUCCGGCGGAAGCGCUGGAAGCAAGAUGGCGGCCGCCGAGAGGGUUCACAAAGGGUAGGGUGGUGUGGAGCAAGGCAGGGUCCUCGCAGGCAGUGCCAAGAUUGAGCUGGGGGUGGGCAGAGUGGGCGGGGUGCGGACCCAUGGCCCUACGCAUCCUGGGCCAGGUCUCUUGUGGUGCUUCACGCUCUCGACCUGUGAGUGGUGCCUGCUAGAGCUGCCCAGAUCCCUUUUCCCUACCCCUUCUGACCCUGGACCCAGAGUGGUGGUUGCGAUCUGCUACCGUGACGUCAGCCCUCAUUCGUUCGUUCCACAAACUCCACAGCUCUGGUCCAUUAGAGGAAGGAGGUCCCAGAAUAGCUGGGAAAUUACGAGAACAGCCUCACUGCACGAGUUGGUGAAUGCUGUGAUGGCGAUUGUAUGAUGGACGGUGAUGUUGAAACCAGACUGGGGAAUGACCGCCCCAUCCGGAGAGGUGAGGGUAAACUUUCGGGAUGCUCUGAGUCCAGAGAUGGGUUUGAAAGAUGCAAAGUUAACCAAGCAGCCAAGGUGGGAGCCAGGCUGUUGCCUGAAUGGAGACAAGCAGCGAGAGUCAAAACCCAGAGUCUGGCCAUACUUAGUAUAUGCUAUACUAAGAAAUGUGGAUUUUUCUCCGUUGGCCAUUGGACUGCUUUUGAAGAAUACCAACCAGAAGAGUAAUAUAAUCGUAUUUGUAUUUUCUUGGGAUAACGGAGGAGAGAAAAAGAAGGCGAUCCCAUUCAGGAAAUUGUCACCAUAAACCAGGGCAAAAAAUGUAGGUCAGAAGAGGGAUAGGGAGAGGAGUGUAUCUCACAAGUGGUUUUGUUAUACCCAGAAGAGUAUUGGGACCCCUCCCUUCCUCUCCUCCCUGUGCUCAUGUUAACAAGGUGUUGGAGCAACUGCACCAAAAGUGUGGAGACAUUGAUUCAGAAUGCUCUUGGUAUCUGCAAAGGGGGUGAAGGACAGUUCUUUGUGCUACUUUUAUUCCUUUUGGAAACAUCACAGAUAUUCUGAUUCUGCUGUAUUAUGAAACAGGUGACACUGAAAAGUCCCUCUUAAGAUUCCUGAUGCCAGGAAAAUAGGAAAAAA